UAGCAAGGGUAAGCAGUCAAUUGAUAGAUUAAAGGAUAGAGUUCCAAAGUGAUGUUUCUCCUCCAAAAUAAUCACAACCAAGUCUGAUUAAUUCCUCCCAUUAUCUUCACCACAGAAAACCAGUUUUUCACCAACCAAACAUGGCCUACAAGAUAUCCCUCAUGCUUUGUAUACUACUCAUACUGCUAUCAUUCUCACUACUCUUUCCUCCUUCAACCACAAACACUCCUGUAACCGUUAAGAAGAGAAGAGAAGUGGUACAUAGAAAUCUAGGAGGAGGAAAACCAACUCCAUGUCCUGAACAUGAUCCUGCUUGUCAUGCAGGAGGUGGUAAUCCUCCUGUGAAUUAAGUACUGCCCUCAUCCUUCACGCUGUAUAUUGCCAGAAGCUAGGAAAUCGCAUUAACAGGGCACCCGAAUUCAUGAUAACUUGAGAUUUUUUAUUCUUAUGUUUUUCAUAUUUCAAAUCCUGCUUAAAAGGUUUUAUAUAUUUUAAAUAAAUUUAGUAAGUCAAAAUUUUAUAAGAUGUGUAUUUUGAUAUAUUCAUGCAUUUGUAUUAUGUGUCAAACAUUUUAAAUAAAUUUAAUCGUUAUGAGCUUUAGAAA